GAUGAACGCUGGCGGCGUGCCUAAUACAUGCAAGUCGAGCGAACAGACGCGGAGCUUGCUCCUCUGACGUUAGCGGCGGACGGGUGAGUAACACGUGGAUAACCUACCUAUAAGACUGGGAUCACUUCGGGAAACCGGAGCUAAUACCGGAUAAUAUAUUGAACCGCAUGGUUCAAUAGUGAAAGACGGUUUUGCUGUCACUUAUAGAUGGAUCCGCGCCGCAUUAGCUAGUUGGUAAGGUAACGGCUUACCACGGCAACGAUGCGUAGCCGACCUGAGAGGGUGAUCGGCCACACUGGAGCUUGGACACGGUCCAGACUCCUACGGGAGGCAGCAGUAGGGAAUCUUCCGCAAUGGGCGGAAGCCUGACGGAGCAACGCCGCGUGAGUGAUGAAGGUCUUCGGAUCGUAAAACUCUGUUAUUAGGGAAGAACAAAUGUGUAAGUAACUAUGCACGGCUUGACGGUACCUAAUCAGAAAGCCACGGCUAACUACGUG
rnacentral:rRNA from 1 species